UACAGAGGGUGCUAGCGUUAAUCGGAUUUACUGGGCGUAAAGCGUGUGUAGGCGGUUCGUUAAGUCUGAUGUGAAAGCCCCGGGCUCAACCUGGGAAUGGCAUUGGAAACUGGCUGGCUAGAGUGUGGCAGAGGGGGGUGGAAUCCGCGUGUAGCAGUGAAAUGCGUAGAUAUGCGGAGGAACACCGAUGGCGAAGGCAAUCCCCUGGGCCUGCACUGACGCUCAUGCACGAAAGCGUGGGGAGCAAACAGG
rnacentral:rRNA from 1 species